UACGUAGGGUGCGAGCGUUGUCCGGAAUUAUUGGGCGUAAAGAGCUUGUAGGCGGUCUGUCGCGUCUGCUGUGAAAAUCCGGGGCUCAACCCCGGACUUGCAGUGGGUACGGGCAGACUAGAGUGUGGUAGGGGAGACUGGAAUUCCUGGUGAUAGCGGUGAAAUGCGCAGAUAUCAGGAGGAACACCGAUGGCGAAGGCAGGUCUCUGGGCCACUACUGACGC
rnacentral:rRNA from 1 species